CUCAGUUGUUGCUAUUCCUCUUCCUCUUCUUCCUUCUGCCAAACCUCACAAAAUCCACCUCAACCAUAGAAUCUCCCCUAACUCUAUCUCAUCUUAGUUAUAUCUUCCAACUAGGAGCUGAUUUCAACCUCAAAGUUGAACCCCAAAUUUGGACCGGACCCUAGCCAAGGCACGACUCACCACCUCCGUUGUCGGCCUCCACAAUGAAGCCACAGUCUUGACUUGCACCUCCAUUGUCGACUUCCACCACAAAGCCACGACACCUUCCUCAUCGAUCUUCACUGUCGUGAGUUCUGAUAUUGAUUUUGUUUUUGUUUUUGUUUUUUGGGUUUUUUUGAUUGAUUGAGAUUAUUGGGUGAUUGCUUUCACUGUUUUGAAUGAUAUAUUAAUGGGUUUCUGUUGUGGCUUGCUGUUUCUGUGAUUGAAUGAAACUUACCAAAUAUUUCAUGUGGUUGUUAAGCUCUUGGACUUGGAUACACUGUUUUGAGCUUAUGAUUUGUCUUUGAAAUGAUGUAUGCACUAUUUUGUGAUUGAGACUUGGACUUGCAGAUCUCCUUGAAAGUAAUGUAUUCACUCUUUUGGAUGAUAUUCGAUAUGAAACAACCUUGGACAGUCAAGGUUUGGCAAUUUGUAAGUAGUUAGUUAGUAAUAGGAUACCCUGGGUUAAUGGCUUUGGGUUGGAUUUAACUUUAAGAGUUCUUGAUACAUGCCUUCCUUGUUGGAGCUUGAAACACAGCUAUGCUAACUGAACCGUUUCACUUUGCAUAAUACUGAUGUUUUAAAAUUUUUGGUUAUUAAUGUUUAAUUGAUGUUUUAUCUGUAUGGUUUAUACACUAGUUGAUAGAUUUUUUAUUAGUAGCUUAACAUGUGUUAACAAAAUGGGUUUAUGAUGAUGGUCAGAAUGUGUUAACAAAAUGGAUUUUUUAUUGAUAGAUUUUAUGAUGGUCAGAAAUGGACACAAUUGUAAUUUUGGUUUGCUACAAUGAAAAAUGGGUAACCUCAAAGAAGAUGUGCACAUAUGAAGGGGGUAACUCAAAAGGCAUAAUAGUUUCGCGAAACAUCACGUCUGGUGAGCUUUUGGAAUGGGUGCAUAAGAUUGUUAAUACAAACAACAGGGAAGACAAGCUUUGUUUAAAGUUCUCAGUUUCAAUAUCCUCGAAUGAGUGUAAGCAUAUCAAGAUUGAGGACAAUGAUGAUGUUAAAUUUUUUUAUUAAGUACAUUUGUGACGUAAUUCCUUCAAAAGUGGCUCCUUUACUGGUGAGCAUAGAAGACAGAGGACUGACAAAUGUCAUAGGUGAUCAUAUACAUAUCACGACGGAUAUGAGUCAGAUGGCCUGUUCUUCAAAUGCCAUAGUUGAAAGCAAUGGUGAUGUACAUGGUGAUUUUGGAACAUAAUAUUUAGACAUGAUUGAUUUUAUAGGGGUGGAGGGGGUGCAUAGUGGUGAUAAUGGUAGGAAAUGAAUGGCUUGUAAAUGCACUCAGCCCCUCCUAUUUUGGCCCAUUUGGAGACAUUUUCACAAGUGGGUGUGGUGGGUUUCAGAACAACGUCUGAACUUUCUAUUCGACAUAAUUGGAGGCAAAUGGGUGAACAAAAAGUACAUAAUUUGGGUAUUGUAAAUGAUGAAGAAGAAGAUAUUGAAAGCACGUAUUCACGGAAUAAUUGGGAUCCAAAAUUGGAAGUUGGGAAAAUUUUCUCUAGUAAGGAAGCCUUGUCCAACAAGUUACAGUUGGCGGCAGUGAGAGGUCACUUUAAAUUUAAGGUGAAGCAGUCUUACAAGAGUCGAUUGGUUGUGGUUUGUUCAAGGUCCAUGCCCAUUGCGGCUUCGUGCAUCUAGUUAUGGAGAAAAGAACUUUAUGAUUGUGAAAUAUAAUCCGGUCCAUGAAUGUGAUAUGAGUUUUAUAUAUCACAAGCAUCGUCACGCAAGUGCUAAACUCGUUGGUAAUGCAGUGAAGCGGAAGUUGAAAGAUUCUCGGACAAUAUACACACCAAGUGAUAUAAUCAGAGAUGUGAAACAGAACUUUGGUGUCACCAUUAAUUAUUGCAAAGCUUGGAGAUCGAUGGAGUUAGCUCUAAUGUCCACUAGAGGUUCAGUAGAGGAGGCAUAUUCUCUCCUUCCAACUUAUUGUCACGAAUUAGAGCGUGUGAAUUCUGGCACAAGGACAUACAUCCACACCGAUGAGAACAAUCAC
rnacentral:lncRNA from 1 species